GCCUUGCUUCCUUCCUUUCCUACUUUUUCUUGAGUCAAUAUUUUGGUUAACUAUAAACUUUGCAGCAGGUCUCCCCUUGACAGCUCCACAACAAGCCUUGUAUUUUUUUUUAGAUCCACAAGGGCAGCUCUUAUUUCUCGGUAUCUUGUCAUCUGCCUGGGAACUACUAUUGUCAUGGGUUUGUUUGAUUCUAUUGUUGGAUGGACUGUGUUUGUGGGUCUCCUUUAGAGACUCUUCCUUUUGUUGCUCACAGUUUCCAUCUUCACCAUCAUGAGAAGUAUCUACAUGACAUUGAAGGGUAUCAUUUUCUGCUGAGUAGUCAUCUGCCUCUUGUUCUGCUACCAGAAACUCUAUUGCAGCAUCAGCAUCACCAUCUACUUGUAAUAAAACCUGUUCGACUUUUUCAGCAUUUUGACAACCACUUCCUGCCAUUACCAAUAUGAUUGAUCCAGCAUCAGUAAUAUCCUUAACAGCUCCCCCUUUAGACUUGCUGGCUGCAGCUUUUGCUUUAUGAGAUGUUGCAGAAAGGUCAGCAUCAGCCUCAAUUAUAAUUGGUCUGGCUGGCCCAUCGCAAGGGUCUUCUUUUAAUCGCACACUGUUGUAAUGUUCCUCAUCAUGAUAAGAUAAAUGAACCAUACGAGCUCCACAUUGAUCAAAAUUCCGGAUGUACCAGCGAGGUGACAUGUACUGGUGAAUGCAUAUAUUACUACGUGUAACAAGAGAAGCUGCCUGCAAUUCCAUAUGUCCAGCCCAUGUGCCAUCCUUUUCCAUUGAUUGGCAGUAUUCAUCAAAUGGGAUCUCAUCCUCAAUAAAGGGCCAAACAUUUCGCGAUUCUUCAUUAUAUAUUGUACCGCCAUGCUGCGAUACUUUCCAUGUUCCUUCUCACUACCUUCCAACUGAUCUGCAAGCGCCCUGAAGAAACAAUUACCAUCUGCAGUCACUUGGAUAACUUUUAGGCCCAAUGCAUCAAGCUGGGAUUGAAACUGAGUGAUAUCAGCCUGUUUUCCCUGUUUUUUCACAUGGGGGUUCUUCUUAGGUUUGGUGGACUUUUGUUGUUUGGUUUUUACCAUUUUAGAGCUUUGGAAUAGCUACUAACAAUGAGGUUUCUGCGGGUUCUCUGGC
rnacentral:misc_RNA from 1 species